rnacentral:rRNA from 1 species
GAUGAACGCUGGCGGCGUGCCUAAUACAUGCAAGUCGUGCGAAUGGAUUAAGAGCUUGCUCUUAUUAAGUUAGCGGCGGACGGGUGAGUAACACGUGGGUAACCUGCCCAUACGACUGGGAUAACUCCUGGAAACCGGGGCUAAUACCGGAUAACAUUUUGAACCGCAUGGUUCGAAAUUGAAAGGCGUCUUCGGCUGUCACUUACGGAAGAACCCGCGUCGCAUUAGCUAGUUGGUGAGGUAACGGCUCACCAAGGCAACGAUGCGUAGCCGACCUGAGAGGGUGAUCGGCCACACUGGGACUGAGACACGGCCCAGACUCCUACGGGAGGCAGCAGUAGGGAAUCUUCCGCAAUGGACGAAAGUCUGACGGAGCAACGCCGCGUGAGUGAUGAAGGCUUUCGGGUCGUAAAACUCUGUUGUUAGGGAAGAACAAGUGCUAGUUGAAUAAGCUGGCACCUUGACGGUACCUAACCAGAAAGCCACGGCUAACUACGUGCCAGCAGCCGCGGUAA